GGAGGCCACACACACUACUGAGCCUCAUUUUGACUUGUUUUACGGACAUUACAUCAAAGUUGGAUCAGCCUGUAGUGGGUUUUUCCACUUUAAUUUUGAGUGUGACUCCAAAUCCAGACCUCCAUGGGUUGAAAAUUUUGAUUUCCAUUUUUUUUAUUUUUGUGUGAUUAUGUUGUCAGCACAAUCAACUAUGUCAAGAACAAAGUAUUUCAGAAGAAUAUUUAAUUCAUUCAUAUCUAGGAUGUGUUAUUUUUGUGUUCCCUUUAUUUUUUUUGAGCAGUGUAUAAACUGUAGAAACCCAGGUCAGAGAAGUUUUGGGAUAACCUGGCAUGAUAUUUCUCAACAGAUUCUGUCUUUUCUUGAAUUACAUCAUUAAUACAGGUGGCCUGAUCGGCCAAUUUAUCUUGAGCCCACGCCCUGAGUUGGUCACAAAAUUCAACACCUGAGGGAAAAUCAGUCUCACUCAGGAGUCGGCACUAGAGAAGCUCUUUUCCAUGAUAGGCCAAUAAGUGUCCCCUGCCUUAAUUUCACGGAGACUAAACAAGUCACGACAUGCAGCGAAAUAGGUCUUUCGGAUUUAAGCAAUUCUUCGGUAGAAGGGCAUGGACUGUUUCUCUGGGUCAGGGAGAGAUGUCACCAGGACUGAGGCCUGGGACGGGUUAAAUAAGACAUACAUUAAGGGGGCUCCAUCCGUAUGGAAGUGGGCCCCAGAGGGUUCAUCAUGGGGACCAGUAUGGUGCACAGUACAGGGCUGGGGAAGGUUAGCCCCUAAGAGGCUACAAUCGUCAGGAG